UACGUAGGGUGCAAGCGUUGUCCGGAAUUAUUGGGCGUAAAGCGCUCGUAGGCGGUCUGUCGCGUCGGAUGUGAAAAUCCAGGGCUUAACCCUGGGCCUGCAUUCGAUACGGGCAGACUAGAGUUCGGUAGGGGAGACUGGAAUUCCUGGUGGAGCGGUGAAAUGCGUUGAUAUCAUCAGGAACACCGGUGGCGAAGGCGGUCUGCUGGGCAGUUGCUGACACUGAGGCGCGACAGCGUGGGGAGCAAACAGG
rnacentral:rRNA from 1 species